AUGCUCCUCCUUGCAAAAGACACGGUGACGCGACUAUUACUGUUAUCAUCACCGCCCAUUAAACAAGGUGCUUCAGCGGCAAAAGCAAAAGUACACGACGAGGAGGUGACUUUGACGAAGACGAAAUCCAACGAAAGUGGAGUUGCAAUUGCAGUUCGAUUAUCAUUCUCUCACGCUUCUCCUUUCUUUAGGUUCACUUAUGCUUCCCCGUCUCUAUGCUUUCAGUCUCGUGCGCGAAUUGAUGUUGUGGAGAUCGUAUCGUUGUUACAGAUUUAA